rnacentral:rRNA from 1 species
UACGUAGGUGGCAAGCGUUGUCCGGAUUUACUGGGCGUAAAGAGCGCGCAGGCGGCCAAGUCAGUCGAAUGUGAAAGCCCCCGGCUUAACUGGGGAGGGUCAUUCGAUACUGCUCGGCUCGAAGACAGGAGAGGGAAGUGGAAUUCCCGGUGUAGUGGUGAAAUGCGUAGAUAUCGGGAGGAACACCAGUGGCGAAGGCGACUUUCUGGCCUGUUCUUGACGCUGAGGCGCGAAAGCUAGGGGAGCGAAUGGG